GAUGCGUGCUCGUCGAGUCGGGUUGCUUGGGAUUGCAGCUUGAAGUGGGUGGUAAAUUCCAUCUAAAGCUAAAUACUGGCGAGAGACCGAUAGCGAACAAGUACCGUGAGGGAAAGAUGCAAAGAACUUUGAAAAGAGAGUCAAAGAGUGCUUGAAAUCGGCAGGAGGAAACCCGGAUGGGCCCGGCUUCGGCGCGCCGACUCAGCCGCCCGCUCGGGGCGGUGCACUUUGUCGCGCCGGGUCAGCCGCCGCUCUGCGCGCGUCACAAGCGGGGAGUAGGGCUCCGGCGAGCUCCCCCUCUGCCUCUCGCGGGGCGCCGGCUGACGGAACGGGCCCCUCCGACCCGUCUAGAAACACGGACCAAGGAGUCUGACACGUGUGCGAGUACCCGGGUGGCAAUCCCGCGUGCGGAAUGAAAGUGAAGGGCACGCCCUGCCAACCGACCUGGACCUUCUGCGAAGGGUUUGAGUGGAGCACACCUGUCGGGACCCGAAAGAUGGUGAACUAUGC
rnacentral:rRNA from 1 species